AAUCUCAUACUCUGUGCCGCCCAACACAACACAACUCCAGUGGCUCCAGUCAACCGCAUUCCUUGCCAGUCCGCCCGUCGCCGCCGCCGCCGCGCCGUCCAACUCAUGACUCAGUGAGCGCCACAGAGCAGGCACAGUCCACAUGAGCGAGGGUACCACCUCGCCGGUGCUUGAGCCGGAGCCAGCGCCUCUACCGGACAGCGACGACCUCCACCGGGAGAUCUUCCUCCGCCUCCCGCCGCUCCCCUCCUCCCUCCCCCGCGCCUCCCUCGUCUGCAAGCGCUGGCGUCGCAUCCUCUCCGACCCCGCCUUCCUCCGCCGCUUCCGCGCCCAUCACCGGGCGCCUCCCCUCCUCGGCUUCUUCGCCGACGAGGACGGCGACAUCGAGUUCGUGCCCACGCUGCGCCGGCCCGACCGCAUCCACCGCGAGCGCUUCUCCCUGCCGCGGCGCGACGGCGGCGAGUUCCUGAGCUUCCUCGGAUGCCGCCACGGCCUCGCCCUCCUCAUCGACCGCGCGCGUCUCGAGGCCCUCGUGUGGAACCCCGUCACCGGCAGCCAGCGCCGAGUACCUUUCCCGCUGGGGUUCGGCCAAGGACACAACGUCUACAGAGGCGCCGUCCUGAGCUCCUCCGGCGACGGCCACGUGCACGGUGAUUGCCUCCUGAUCCCCUUCAAAUUGGUACUGGUGCAUCAUGCUGAUCUCCGUGGCGCGAUUGUGUCCGCCUGCCUAUAUGAAUCGGAGUCUGGAAAAUGGAGCAAUGUCAGCUCAAUGCCUAUUCCACAUUUCUCUCGUUUGCACCAGCCCGGUGUCCUAGUUGGGCAUCAAGUUUACUGGAUGCUAUUGGGAACUAGCGACAUCCUUGAGUUUGAUUUGAAUGGCCAGAGUCUAGCUGUAAUUCAGAAGCCAGAGGACGCCCAUGUUAAAAGCAAUUCAGGCCUUCAGGCCUUACGGACAGAAGAUAACAAGCUUGGCCUUGCAAAUAUUUCAGAACUGGGCAUCCAAUUGUGGGGGAGGGAGACCAAUUCAGAUGGUGUUGGUAGAUGGGUGCUAUUGAAAACUGUUGAACUAAACAAGCUCCGUUCAAUAAGUCCGUCAAUGAGGAUACAACCAGCAACGAUUCUGGGGUUUGAUGAGGAUAACAACGCUUUUUAUAUCUGUACGAAUAUUGGCCUCUACAUGAUCCAGCUUGAGUCAUUGCAGUUCACAAGACUUUUUGACGGCGAUAUGUUUACUGCCUACUAUCCCUACACAAGUUUCUACACUGCAGGCUUGGGCAUUCGUGGUGGAGAUGAUAGAGCUGAAAUCCUGAACAAUGCAUGAGACGAUUAUCCAAUAUAUCUGAGGUGUUUGAUUAACAGCUUUCCUUGGUGUUCAUUGGUGUGUUGGACUUUUCUUCUUGGAAUUGGUGGUGGAAAUGAUAGAGCUGAAAUGUCGAUCAAUACAUGAAAUGAUCGCCCCGUUUUGAAGUGUCAUGCUGGUUGAACAAUGGAUGUGAAUUUAUCUUCUACUACAUGUAUGUCUGUAUGAUUGCCCCAAGGGCGAGGACGCUAAGGCCAGUUCCGCCCACCGCCUUCCACGGUGACUUCGCUCGACAGUCGCAGCCCUGUGCCAUGGUGGCACCAUCCACCUCCUCUGGAUAAGAAUAGGAAGCUGCAGCCCCGCUGAGGCUGGCCGUGUGCCGAAUCUGGCACCCAACUCUCUGUGCCAUUGCUGCUGGUGACAUGGGCGAUUUUCUCAGGCUCCGGUGGAGUUCGGACCCGUUCUUCAGGUUCCCAAUGGCGACUGCGCUGGUUGAGCCACGCGAGAAUGUCAGAGAACACCAGCUCCACAUUCUCAUCAGGCUCGCCGGCGGUGAGGCCAUGCCACAUCCCCGGGUAGAGCUUGAAGGUCUUGUCGGUGCUGGCUGCCCCCUCAUACAGGGCUCGGCUGACCUCUGGGUCGGUCACCGUGUCUGCCUCGCCGUGCAGGACGAGGAAUGGCAUCCUCACCUAGAGGAAACAUAUCCAUAAGUUAUAGAUUAAAAAUCUCGUGCAUCUCUUGAUUGAGAAAGCUAAACACAAAUUAUGGAUAAACAAAUCUUGCUAGCAGCCUGAGGUUAUUAGAGUACCUCUGACAUACUGUCUUCUACAUCCUUGCUGGUUCUGAGCAGCUCCAGCGCUGUCUUCAGCCGGGGCUUGUCCUGGUAGAUGAGCUUGUUCUUCCUGAUCUGCCCAUGGUUGCAGAAGAACUCUAUUCACGUUCUCGAAGAAAAAACAACCUAAUUCAGCGAUAA